GAGUUCUUCUAAACGUGAAUUUCAUGACUAAGAGAACUCAACUCCACUUACCCUUCUAUUAUCUAGCAACUCUCUAGUAAAACUUUAAGCAUGCAAUUCAUCAUUCCUUUUUCAACAGCCUCACAGUCUGUCUAUCACUUGGAAAGACUUUUAUGGAUGACGAGGAAGAACAUUAAAGUCAAAUUCCAGUCCUCCUCUUGACGCGUGGAUCAUUUCCCAGACCUCGAAAAAAUCUCCAGACCAAAAAAAAAUUAUCGGAUUGACUUGGCAAACCGUUGGAAUAACGUUUGAACUACAAAGGUCACCCAGUGUCGCCACAGGCCAUACUCAACAUCGAGUGGCAAGAUGGAGAUGGCAAAUGACGAAGUCCUGUGACGUGCCUUGGUGGUAGAAGUCGGCUCACCUCAACGUGACCGUCCUGCGUGAGGGUUCCAUUUCCGUGCAAGAAUCGACCUAGGAGAUGCUUAUCACUCGCAGAGUUUCCAGAACAGCUGAACUUGGAAAAUACAGAGGUCUCCCGCAGAAAAUCAAUAGGUCAACGCCAUUUCGAAAUGUGCGACUUCUCGUCUGAAAACAUCAGGCCUUAAAAAAAACGUAGAUUACGGUGCUCGACUGAAAGCACUCUGAAGAGUAGGAUUCCGGAGAGUUACCUUGUUGUCUGCGUGUCCUGUCUUAUGCCGACGAGUCGUUUCCGACCCACAGCGACACCUCUUCUCUUCCAGGGUGCCCCGCUCUCCAUCUGCGAUCGUUCUGGUAGUUUUCUUGGUAAAAAUACACAAGGGGUUUACCAUUUGCCGCCUUCUGCGCAGAAAACUCGAGUCUCCGCCCUAGACCGUCUCCCAUGCCGCCGCUGCCCAGCACAGCCAUUCAAUUUGGCCGUGACUACCCAUCUACCAAGCAAGACUGAUAUAAAACUCCUUCAACAGACAAGUCCAGGCUACUGGGAUUACUGGGAACUGGCCAAAACGCGAGAGGAACACGGGCCGAUUGAAACCGUUUACCGAUGAGCCGAAGACGCUAGAAAUGAACACGUGACUUUAAAGGAUUGCAAACUUCCCGUGGACACCGAACAUGCCUGCCGACUCCGUUGCAUCGUACUCUCCCAAGCGCUUAGCAAAAUGCUCUGCACAUGGUGAGGUAACUGAGGCCCACAGAAGCG